rnacentral:lncRNA from 1 species
GGACAGGGACCCAGACACGGCCUGCAGAGCAGCUAUGGCUGAGUGGGGCAGAGAGGUCCCAUCCUGGUGGUCUGGGGACCCGGCCUCACCCUCUCAUUCUCCCUUUGCUUGCUGUUUCCAGGGCCACGGGGGUUCCGUGGCUGUUCUUAUGGGGUUCACAUGGCUGCAUGUGAAGAGGCCGCCCCAAACCACCAAGGGUGUCAGAGCUCAGCCCAGUGGCCUGGAGCACGUCUGGGCAGUGGUGUCAGAGCCCCACACCACUCCCCAUCUCUGGGUACCUCCUCUUGACCUGACCUUGGAUCAUUUCUCCUUAAUGCCUAGGGUUCUGGAUUUUUUAUUUCCCCAGGGCUGGGGAUCGAACAUAGGCCUUGCACACCAUAGACAAGCACUCUCCCACUGAGCUCCACCCCGCUCGGGGGCCUCUGGACUCUUAACCAGCUUAGCCUCCCUCCUCUGAUCCCAGCACGGAAGUAAACAAAGACCAUCCAACCAACAAGGACUCUCGCUCAGGAGUGAUGCCAUGGCAGGACGGGGAGAGCUUCAGAGUGGACAGGAGACCAUUUCCGGUGUGCCUGGCAGGAGGCUUCCAGCCUAGGGAUCAGGAGGCAGCUACCUGGAUGCGGGACACCCCAUUUAAUUGGCCAGAGGAACAUAUUUGGCUUUUGCUUGGAAAAGAGGAUAAGUUGGAAACAGGCUGGUUUUGAACUUCUGGCUUCAGGAGAUCCUCUUGCCUCAGCCUCCUUGAAUAGCUGGCACUACAAGUAUGUUCCACCGUACCCAGCUUGCAUCAGUAGUUGAAGGUUUUGGUGAUUAUGACUAGAGCUGCCAUAGAUAUUUGUGCAAAGAUUCCCAACUAGAG